CCUACGGGAGGCAGCAGUGAGGAAUAUUGGUCAAUGGGCGGGAGCCUGAACCAGCCAAGUCGCGUGAGGGACGACGGUCCUAUGGAUUGUAAACCUCUUUUGUCGGGGAACAAAGGCGCCCACGGGUGGGCGGAUGAGUGUACCCGAAGAAAAAGCAUCGGCUAACUCCGUGCCAGCAGCCGCGGUAAUACGGAGGAUGCGAGCGUUAUCCGGAUUUAUUGGGUUAAAAGGGUGCGUAGGCGGACAGUCAAGUCAGCGGUAAAAAUGCGGUGCUAAACGCCGUACAGCCGUUGAAACUGGCCGUCUUGAGUGGGGGAGAGGUAAGCGGAAUGCGUGGUGUAGCGGUGAAAUGCGUAGAUAUUAGGCAGAACACCAGUGGCGAAGGCAGCUUACUGGAGUCUGACUGACGUUGAGGCACGAAAGCGUGGGUAGCGAACAGGAUUAGAUACCCUAGUAGUC
rnacentral:rRNA from 1 species